rnacentral:rRNA from 1 species
GAUGAACGCUGGCGGCGUGCCUAAUACAUGCAAGUCGAGCGAACAGACGAGGAGCUUGCUCCUCUGACGUUAGCGGCGGACGGGUGAGUAACACGUGGAUAACCUACCUAUAAGACUGGGAUAACUUCGGGAAACCGGAGCUAAUACCGGAUAAUAUAUUGAACCGCAUGGUUCAAUAGUGAAAGACGGUUUUGCUGUCACUUAUAGAUGGAUCCGCGCCGCAUUAGCUAGUUGGUAAGGUAACGGCUUACCAAGGCAACGAUGCGUAGCCGACCUGAGAGGGGGAACGGCCACACGGGAACUGAGACACGGUCCAGACUCCUACGGGAGGCAGCAGUAGGGAAUCUUCCGCAAUGGGCGAAAGCCUGACGGAGCAACGCCGCGGGAGUGAUGAAGGUCUUCGGAUCGUAAAACUCUGUUAUUAGGGAAGAACAAAUGUGUAAGUAACUAUGCACGUCUUGACGGUACCUAAUCAGAAAGCCACGGCUAACUACGUG